GACGAACGCUGGCGGCGUGCCUAAUACAUGCCAGUUGAGCGCUGAAGGUUGGUACUUGUACCAACUGGAUGAGCAGCGAACGGGUGAGUAACGCGUGGGGAAUCUGCCUUUGAGCGGGGGACAACAUUUGGAAACGAAUGCUAAUACCGCAUAAAAACUUUAAACAAAAGUUUUAAGUUUGAAAGAUGCAAUUGCAUCACUCAAAGAUGAUCCCGCGUUGUAUUAGCUAGUUGGUGAGGUAAAGGCUCACCAAGGCGAUGAUACAUAGCCGACCUGAGAGGGUGAUCGGCCACAUUGGGACUGAGACGCGGCCCAAACUCCUACGGGAGGCAGCAGUAGGGAAUCUUCGGCAAUGGACGAAAGUCUGACCGAGCAACGCCGCGUGAGUGAAGAAGGUUUUCGGAUCGUAAAACUCUGUUGGUAGAGAAGAGCGUUGGUGAGAGUGGAAAGCUCAUCAAGUGACGGUAACUACCCAGAAAGGGACGGCUAACUACGUG
rnacentral:rRNA from 1 species